rnacentral:lncRNA from 1 species
UCAAAUAUACCAUCAGAAUCAGAAGUAUUAUAAAUAGGGAGGUAAGUCGAAUCAAAUCUUCAAAAAGAAAAAGUACAAAAAAAAUCAACAAAAAAUUGUAUCAAAUCAAACGCCUUAUAUCUCAAAAUUGAAAAACAUGUAUAGGAUUUCAAGUCCACCACUAUUUUUUUAGAUCCUUCAAAUAGAAAGGUAGGUCAAAUCAAAACUCAAAAUUUCCUAUUCAUAUGCAAAAUCAACUCAAAAGUCAAAAUAGUCAAACACUUAAUAUCUCCAAAUGUAUGCACUUUUUGAAAACUUCAAAUAUAUAUUUAAAAUGGACAACUCUCAAAUGGUCCCAAUGGACUUUUCAAAAAUUUCAAAAACCUUUGUAUGACAAAAGUCAAAACUCUAAAGUCCAAGUCAAAGUAGUUAUAUCUCUCAAACUAUAAAAAUGAAUAGAAAAUGAAUUAUAGCAUUGAAAUCCUAGAUACCAUAAAUAGGGAGGUAGGUCAGGUCAAAAUCUAAAAAUAUUGAUGCUCAAAAACCAAAGACACACUUGUAAAUUCUAACUUUUAAUCCUUAACUCUAAAUCCUAGUUACUUUUUCUUGCUCCUAACCAUUCAAUUCCACAUUACUAGCGCCUCAUAGAUGAACUCACUUUUCUCUAUAAAUUGCAUAUCAUGAAAGUCAUAAUAGAACAAAGUUACACAACUCCAAUCCCUUCCUUCAACAAUAAUCUACACACUAUUUCCUUACUUCUACUCAUUCCCAAACACUCAACACAAUAUUACACGCACUUGGCUCACUUCAAAUUACAAAGAUUCUUAAGUUUCUAUGAAUUUCUUCAUUACACGCACUCGGCCUACUUCAAAUUACAAAGAUUCUUAGAUUUCUAUGAAUUUCCUCAACAAAUACCCAAUAAUACUGUCAAACUAUGAACCUCGGAUCAUAGAUGCUUUCUUGCUUUUCCUUGCCCC